rnacentral:lncRNA from 1 species
UUCUCUCUCUCUCUCUCUCUCACUCACGCAUCCUCGACUUAUUUUAUGUACACUUAUAAUAAGCCAAUUUAACAUUUUAAAACAUUUUUACAGUGUUGAAAUGAUUGACAAUCUCGUAAAUUUCACUCACGAUGAUCUGUAAUAGCAUGUGUUAACAAUGCGGUAUCUGAAUAAUAGAUAUUGUGCGUCCUGGUAUAGUAUUCGGUGCCGGUAGAUAAAAAGAUGCUUCAGCUAGCACCUAAAGGUAGAUAAUUGCCAACAUGGUCUUUCGAGCCGGAUUUUUUUGUUAUAAAACAAUUCUUUUUUAAAGCUGCGUAUCCAUUAGAUACGCAGAGCAGAUAUGUUUUAAAAACAUGUUGAAUGUAUGUAUAAACAUAGCCUACUGCAUCCUGAAGAAGCAUAUACGUUUUUUAUAGAUCUCAUCAACGAUUCCCAUAUGAUAUUCCAUAAAAUGGGUUUUGUUAGCAUGGCUCAAACGUAAAAAUCAUUAAUUCUGGAAUUUAAUGGAUCUUCUGUCAAAACAACUAAGGUGCACUAGGAUAUACGACGUCCUGCGCAACAGGUUUUAUUCCAAACGCUAUUAUGGUACAAGUCAUCAUGCCAAGUAGAGGGUAUGGCGAAGGAAACUCGAUGGAAGACAAGUCACAAAUUAUAGACAGAAUUCGAAAUCAGGACAAAAGAAGAACAAGGGAAAAGGUGUCAUACUAGACGUAACCAAAAAAAAA